UUCCGGUUGAUCCCGCCAGAGGUCAUUGCUAUCCGGGUUCGACUAAGCCAUGCGAGCUGAGAGGUGAAAGACCUCGGCGAACUGCUCCGUAAUGCAUGGUCAACCUACCCUUAGCAGGGAGAUAAACUCGCGAAAGUGAGCUCAAUAUCCCAUAUUUCUAUGAUACUGGAAUGUUCAUAGAACGAAAGCUACGACGGCUAAGGAUGGGACUGUGCCUGACUAGGCUGUUGUCUGUGUAAUGAACAGACAAACCGAUAAUCAGUAAGGGCUAUGGAAGUAGGAGCCUUGAGAUGGACUCUGAGACAUGAGUCCAGGUACUACGGUACGCAGCAGGCGCGAAACCUUUGCAAUCGGCUCACGCCGGACAAGGGAACCUGGAGUGUUCCAGUUUUACUGGAACUUUUGCCUACUGAAAAAAGGUAGGAGAAUAAGGGCUGGUUAAGACGGGUGCCAGCCACCGCGGUAAUACCCGCAGCCCGAGUGAUGGCCAGGAUUAUUGGGUCUAAAGCGUCCGUAGCCGGUUUAAUAAGUCCUUGGUGAAAUCUUAUAGCAAACUGUAAGGCUUGCUGAGGAUACUAUUAGACUUGAGACCGGGAGAGGGUAGGGGUAUUCAUAGGGUAGGGGUUAAAUCCUAUAAUCCUAUGAGGACCACCUGUGGCGAAGGCGCCUACCUAGAACGGGUCUGACGGUGAGGGACGAAAGCUAAGGGAGCGAUCGGGAUUAGAUACCCCGGUAGUCUUAGCUGUAAACGAUGCCCGCUUGGUGUUACAGACCUCUUGGGGGUCUGUUGUGCCGGAGCGUAGUGUUAAGCGGGCCACCUGGGAAGUAUACUCGCAAGGGUGAAACUUAAGGGAAUUGGCGGGGGAGCACACAAGGGGUGGGCGUUGCGGUUCAAAUGGAGUCAACGCCGG
rnacentral:rRNA from 1 species